AAUGAACCAUUCGAUUCAUUUCUACUUUUUCAACGUUUUCAACAAAGUGAGGGAGUGAGAGCAUGUUCCGACAAGGAACAGUGAGAUCUUACUGAGAGUGUCGAGAAACCAGAAAAUGGAAAAGGAAAGGGUUGGAUCCGCAUUCCAGUAAAACGACGUCGUGCUGCUGCGCAUCCAAAUCCUCUCUUCUUUUGUGCAAUGGCGGAAUCUGAAUCGCAAGGUCAUUCAUGGAUCUCCUAUGGAGUGUCGUUAUUGAUCGUUCUUCUAAUAGCGCUUCACGUCUUCGCCUUGGUCUAUUGGAUUUAUAGAUUGGCCACUGACAAUAGGUCGCAACAGCAGCAGCAGCAGCAACAACAAGAACAUCAGCAAGUGAGAAGAAAAGCUCACUGAUUGAAUUAAAAAAAAAGUUCCCAUUUAGUUUCGCUUUCUACAAACAAUUGUUGUGUGAAAUUAUGUGCAUUAGAGGAUAGGAUUUUUAUUUUUAAUUUUUUUGUAUAAGAGUGAUGAAUGAGGUUUCUAUUUAUUUUUAAAUUGAGUGUUAGUGAUAUAGUCAACAUUGCAUGCUUUCACAAGCUAGAGUGUGAUCUGUUGUGCCAAAAUUGAAUAAUCUCCGAGGAGUAGAGUCUUGCUGCAAUUUAGUUCAUCUUAUGCUCUUUGUAUUGUGUGCUGUGCUUCUUUGGAUAAAGUUUUUCAUAGAUACUUCAAGAACAAAAUAGCAACAAAAAACGAAAGAAGUUAUUCCAUGAGUUAAACUUAAUUUAUAUGUAAAGUAAUUUGUAAAAGUUCUCUUGUAUUAGUUUCUCUACAGCAUGAUUUUUCUUAACCUAUACUAGCUCUCUUAUUCAUAGAAGUGUUCAUGGUGAUGUUUAUUCAAACAUGCAUUAUGUUUAUUUCCGUGAUUCAAAA
rnacentral:sRNA from 1 species